rnacentral:tRNA from 1 species
UAUAUUUUAGUAUAAUAUGUAUAAAAGUUUUUGAUACUUUAGGAAACAGCUAACAUCUGUUAAAUAUAG